rnacentral:lncRNA from 1 species
UGAUAUUUACAAAUAUUGAGUUACAGAAUAGUCUUAGACUCGAUAAUUACCCGAUAAGACUGUCGGUACACCGACAUAUUUUAGGAAUUGAUCUGGACUUAGAUAUUUUGACUGUAAUAAUGUUUGUUUGUGAUCCAAUGACUAUUGAAUAUGUGUGACAAUGUGAUUAGGUUAUGUGCUGACUAUGAAAUGCAGUAUUAUCUGUUAUAGUAUAUUGUUCUAAUUGAAUGAAUGACCUGAUUAAUGAUAGGUGAUUACAUAAAAGAUAAAACUAUGUUGCGUAUUGUAAGCAGCGCAUCAGGCAAGUAUCCUACCUUUGCAUUUCCUUUAUGCAAUGGACAUGAGUAAGAAUGUUUCAGAAUUAUAUUAUUAUUGUACAGAUU